rnacentral:rRNA from 1 species
CCGCGUGGAUGAUGAAGGCCCCUGGGUCCUAAAAUCUGUCCGUUGGGAAGAAAUGUAUAGUGGUAAAUACCGAUUAUAUUGACGGUACCAGCAAAGGAAGCACCGGCUAACUCCGUGCCAGCAGCCGCGGUAAUACGGAGGGUGCAAGCGUUGUUCGGAUA